UCUCUCUCUCUCUGUGACAAUACACUUUGUUGUGUGUUCUUGUUUUUUAUGGAGCUUUCUGCUGUUCAAGCUGAUUGCGAGUGAUAAUCUGUUCUUGUUGUUUUUCAUGGAGCUUUCUGCUAUUUAAGCUGAUUGCCAGUGAUAAUCUUAGUUUUUGCUCGUGAUUUCAACAAUGUAAUAUAGCGUCAAUCGGGAUGUGUGAUUGAAAUCGUGUUUUUUAUAUUUUUUGCGGACGAGGAAAUUUUUUGAGGAAUUAUAUGCUGCUUGUUGAGUUUUACCUCAUAUUCAGAGGGUACCUCUACUUGACCUCUAUGCAAUGGUAGUGUUUGCAUAGGGGGGGAGAGGUCUGAAGGGCUAUUUGGAGUCAGUGCAGUGGCCGCACAUCUGUGGGGAAUUCAGCAUUUUGCGAGCUGGGCCCUCUCAAUUCCUUUGAGUUUCAUUGUUGCAAACAUACUCCUCAGGCAAGAUACUUAAUGGAUUUGCUGUGGCACUGCCUGAGUCGAUACACACAACACCUAGCAUCCAUCGCUUAUGGCUAGGACUACUGAGGUAUCUAAUCUCAUUUGCUCCCCUAGAUUUCAUCUCUCGGUGCUACAUAUCCAAACACGUGCUUUUCACAAUAGUGUUGUAUUUAACUUUUGA